rnacentral:rRNA from 1 species
AGUGAAUGCAGGCGGCAUGCUUUAUACAUGCAAGUCGAACGGAGAAGAAUUUUUUGUAGCAAUACAGAAAGUUUUUUUAGUGGCGAACGGGUUGAGUAAUAUAUAGGAACUUACUCAAUAGUGGGGGAUAACAGUUGGAACGACUGCUAAUACCGCAUAUUCCCGAGAGGGGAAAGGUAUUUAUAUCGCUAUCGAAGAGGCUUAUAUCUGAUUAGCUAGUUGGUGAGAUAACUGCUUACCAAGGCAAUGAUCAGUAGCCGGUCUGCGAGGAUGAUCGGCCACAUUGGGACUGAGAUACGGCCCAAAUCCUACGGGAGGCAGCAGUA